GACGAACGCUGGCGGCGUGCUUAACACAUGCAAGUCGAGCGGUAAGGCCCUUCGGGUACACGAGCGGCGAACGGGUGAGUAACACGUGGGUGACCUGCCUCUAGCUCUGGGAUAAGCCUGGGAAACUGGGUCUAAUACCGGAUAUGACUCCACGGCGCAUGUUGUGGGGUGGAAAGCCUUGUGUGGCUAGAGAUGGGCCCGCGGCCUAUCAGCUUGUGUGGGGUGAUGGCCUACCAAGGCGACGACGGUAGCCGGCCUGAGAGGCGACGGCCACACUGGGACUGAGACACGGCCCAGACUCCUACGGGAGGCAGCAGUGGGGAAUCUUGCGCAAUGGGCGAAAGCCUGACGCAGCGACGCCGCGUGAGGGAUGACGGCCUGGUGUAA
rnacentral:rRNA from 1 species